AGCAGCCGCGGUAAUUCCAGCUCCAAUAGCGUAUAUUAAAGUUGCUGCAGUUAAAAAGCUCGUAGUUGAAUUUCGGGACCAUCAUGUUGGUCGUGCCUCGGUACGUACUGGCAUUGUUGGUUUCUCCCUUCUGACGAACCAUGAUGUCAUUAAUUUGGUGUUAUGGGAAAUCAGGACUGUUACUUUGAAAAAAUUAGAGUGUUUAAAGCAGGCAUUAGCUUGAAUACAUUAGCAUGGAAUAAUGAAAUAGGACGUUCGAACCUAUUUUGUUGGUUUUUAGGAUCAACGUAAUGAUUAAUAGGGAUAGUUGGGGGCAUUAGUAUUCAAUUGUCAGAGGUGAAAUUCUUGGAUUUAUUGAAGACUAACUACUGCGAAAGCAUUUGCCAAGGAUGUUUUCAUUAAUCAAGAACGAAAGUUAGGGGAUCGAAGACGAUCAGAUACCGUCGUAGU
rnacentral:rRNA from 1 species